CAGUAGAUGCACCCUGAUAAGUAACUUUCUCUAGUUGGCUAAAACUUCUGCGGGUUCUUUAU
rnacentral:sRNA from 1 species